GUUUAUAUAGUGUAGUGGUCAUCACGUUUGCCUAACACGCGAAAGAUCCCCAGUUCGAAACUGGGUAGAAACU